rnacentral:rRNA from 16 species
CGACCCGUUUGUCUUGGGCUGAAGGUCCAUCAAUGUGCGGAACAAAGCGUUGCUUUGCUGCGUUCGGAAGCCAAUCUCG